rnacentral:rRNA from 1 species
AUUGAACGCUAGCGGGACGCCUUACACAUGCAAGUCGAACGGAGCGGCGAACGGGUGAGUAAUGUAUCGGAACGUGCCCAGUAGCGGGGGAUAACUACGCGAAAGCGUAGCUAAUACCGCAUACUAUCGGAGCGGACGAUAUCGGAUUAGCUAGCUGGUGGGGUAACGGCCCACCAAGGCGACGAGCCGUAGCUGGUUUGAGAGGACGAACAGCCACACUGGGACUGAGACACAGCGCAGAAUCCUACGGGAGGCAGCAGGGGGGAUUAUUGGACAAUGGGCGAAAACCUGAUCCAGCCAUCCCGAGUGAGCGAUGAAGGCCUUCGGAUGGUAAAGCACUUUUGGCAGGAAGGCGGUACCUACAGAAUAAACACCGGCUAACUACGUGCCAGCAGCCGCGGUAAUAC